rnacentral:rRNA from 1 species
UACGUAGGGGGCAAGCGUUGUUCGGAAUUACUGGGCGUAAAGGGCGCGUAGGCGGCACGGCAAGUCAGGAGUGAAAGCCCGGGGCUCAACCCCGGAAUGUCUUUUGAAACUGCCGAGCUAGAGUGCGGAAGAGGCAACUGGAAUUCCCAGUGUAGCGGUGAAAUGCGUAGAUAUUGGGAAGAACACCUGAGGCGAAGGCGGAUUGCUGGGCCGACACUGACGCUGAGGCGCGAAAGCCAGGGGAGCGAACGGG